UUAGGAGUAUUGGACAAUGGGCGCAAGCCUGAUCCAGCCAUGCCGCGUGAGCGAUGAAGGCCUUCGGGUUGUAAAGCUCUUUAGCCGACGAAUAUAAUGACUGUAGUCGGAGAAUAAGCCCCGGCUAACUUCGUGCCAGCAGCCGCGGUAAUACGAAGGGGGCGAGCGUUAUUCGGAAUCACUGGGCGUAAAGCGUGCGUAGGCGGUCUUGAAAGUUGGGAGUGAAAGCCCAGGGCUUAACCUGGGAACUGCGCUUGAUACUGCGGAGCUAGAGAUCGGGAGAGGAGAGUGGAAUUCCCAGUGUAGAGGUGAAAUUCGUAGAUAUUGGGAAGAACACCGGUGGCGAAGGCGGCUCUCUGGACCGAUACUGACGCUGAGGCGCGAAAGCGUGGGGAGCAAACAGGAUUAGAUACCCUGGUAGUCCACGCCGUAAACGAUGUGUGCUAGACGUUGGGGGUUUGGCCCUCGGUGUCGCAGCUAACGCAUUAAGCACACCGCCUGGGGAGUACGGCCGCAAGGUUA
rnacentral:rRNA from 1 species